UACGAAGGGGGCGAGCGUUGUUCGGAAUUACUGGGCGUAAAGGCGCGUAGGCGGCCGAUCAAGUCAGAUGUGAAAGUCCUGGGCUUAACCUGGGGACUGCAUUUGAUACUGAUUGGCUUGAAUGCAGGAGAGGAUAGCGGAAUUCCCAGUGUAGAGGUGAAAUUCGUAGAUAUUGGGAAGAACACCGGUGGCGAAGGCGGCUAUCUGGACUGUGAUUGACGC
rnacentral:rRNA from 1 species